AAAGUACCUUGUAUCUGGAGAAGUGGCACUGUGCUGGUCGUCCACCAGGCUGGACGGUGGUUGCUGCUGGGCUUCGGAGUGUACGGCCCCGGGUGCUCGGAGCCGGCUCGGUUCAUCGACUACGGCAUGUACCACAGCUGGGUGAAGACCAGCAUCGCCAGGAUGGGCAGGCCGGCUAUCACUAGGCUGGGGCCGGGACGCAUCGUCAUGAGGAGAUCUCUCGCUAGGAUCCAGAGGUUCGGUCCGUGCGACAUAGAGGAGAUGACCACAGAAAUAUAUACGGACCUCAACAAUGUGACCAUCAUACCAGAGACGGACCCCAGCCCACACAUGUACCGCACUAAAAC